UGGGGUAUAGCCAAGAGGAAAGGCAGCGGGUUUUGAUCCCGCGAUCCCAGGUUCGAAUCCUGGUGCCCCAG
rnacentral:tRNA from 1 species